rnacentral:tRNA from 1 species
ACUAGGGUGUCGGAGUAUUUAUCGUGUAAGUUUUAGGUUCUUAUUAUAUUUGUGAGAAUCAGGUAUUUAGUG